GUCCCUUCGGGGACAUCCGAUAAAAUUGGAACGAUACAGCGAAGAUUAGCAUGGCCCCUGUGCAAGGAUGACACUCACAAAUCGAGAAAUGGUCCAAAUUUUU